AUAUCAUACCAUAAGAAACAAAUCAAGACCCAAGAACAAAUAUUCACCUUAUCGACACAAGAUUGUGGGCAAUCAUGGAUAUGAGAUACAAUUGAUGUUUAGUAAUAUUCACUUCAUGUUGCCUCCAUAACACAAAGUUCAGCAAAGAAAAAAAUUUGAAGG